rnacentral:rRNA from 11 species
ACACGGUGGAUGCCCUGGCAGUCAGAGGCGAUGAAGGACGUGCUAAUCUGCGAAAAGCGUCGGUAAGGUGAUAUGAACCGUUAUAGCCGACGAUGUCCGAAUGGGGAAACCCAGUGUGUUUCGACACACUAUCGUUAACUGAAUACAUAGGUUAACGAGGCGAACCGAGGGAACUGAAACAUCUAAGUACCUCGAGGAAAAGAAAUCAACCGAGAUUCCCCCAGUAGCGGCGAGCGAACGGGGAGCAGCCCAGAGCCUGAAUCAGCAUGUGUGUUAGUGGAAGCGUCUGGAAAGUCGCAGGGUACAGGGUGAUACUCCCGUACACAAAAACACACAUGCUGUGAGCUCGAUGAGUAAGGCGGGACACGUGGUAUCCUGUCUGAAUAUGGGGGGACCAUCCUCCAAGGCUAAAUACUACUGACUGACCGAUAGUGAACUAGUACCGUGAGGGAAAGGCGAAAAGAACCCCGGAGA